UGUCGAUAAUGUCAUUUUUUAUGUAAAAAAUAUGAGGGAUAUAUUAAACUUUAAAAAAAAACAUUGGUUUUCAAAUCGAAAGUAAAAAACUGUUUAAACACAAUGUCACAAUGGCUUCUAGAAGACUGUAGGAUUCGAACAGAGACGGUGCAGACGAUGUUAUCGGAGAAAGUACUGAGACACAAUCAUAUGAGCCCUGUAUGAAAACCAACAUAUCAAAAACUGCUACUUGUUUCUGCAAGAAUUUUGAUGAAUAUAUGUGUGAUACGUGCAAAAAUCCGCAUACCGUACAUAUGCCUGGUCAGCAUAAAAUUGUCAAUAUACAGGACAAUAAAUCUGCUCCGGUAAUAAUCGGCUCCGUUAAACUAUGUGCCAAAAUGGAUGUCAAAGAUAGGAUAAUUACUUUUGACUUCAGUUUACCAAAGGAUUCUGCCAUAUAUGACUUUAUAUGUGCACAUGUCUUUAGAAGACAAAGUGGAGAUUGCUAAUUUCAUAUCGGAACAUAUAUAAUAACAUGUUGAAUAGUGUAUAUAUGUAAAAAAAAAUCACAGAAAUUAGAUUAGACUGAUUCAUUGUGCAGUGAUAUAAAUGCAGUAGGUUAUUGUUGGCGCAACUUGUUCGGUUGGACAGGGAAAACAACACAAAUUAAGAAAAUAAGACCUGUUCUGCAUUCUUAAACAUUUGUGCAGACGUCCAAUUCUGCAAAUUCAGUUGACAAUAUGCAAAGUAUUGGAGAGUCCUUAAAUGAGUCUGCUGUUAAUAUGCCUUACAUGGAUCUUUCUGACUAAAGUGAUGUGGAGAUGGGGAUGAUAAAAGAUGAAACUGCAGCCAAAGGCAAACGUGAAAUGGAAGCACAACAUAAAUACUUGGGUAAAGACAUUUCUGGAUAUGAUAUGUUUUACAUUUUCCUUUAAAACACCUUAAAUUAAAAUACACAGUCAUUUUACGAACAAGGUUUUUACCUUGUUAUUUAUAUAAUGAAAAAAUGAGUUCUAAAUUUCACUUUGGAAUGUCAUUAAUGGUAUUAUCCCUUAAAUAAACAAAAGUAUUAAAACAAAGCAUUUUUUGCUCUUUUAUGCAUUUUUCCAGUGAAAAAUAAUUAAAUGUGUACACUACAAACACAAACUUUGAUAUGGGUUUUUAACCCUUAAGUGAGAUUUAUGUGGGCAUCAAAUUCGAGAGUACACACAUUUGCACAUAGAACAUGUAACAAAAUUUCUUUUCGAUUAGCAUGACAUCAUGUACAAAUUAUGUAAAUCAUGUACAAAUGUAAAAUAAAUGUUUACUCCUCAUUUAAUAGCGAAAAAACUAUCCACCUUAACACAAACACACAAGCCUCGCUCUUUUAAAUGUAUGCAUGUCUUUAAGAGUUUCUUCGAUGAAUGCCUGUGCGGUAUUGAUCACUUCACAACUGAAAAAUUUUGAGACCGCAUAACGUAGAAAGCUCGUUUACACACAAACAUUAAUACAUAUCUACUCCGAUGUAAUGACAAUAAACUGUUGUGAUAUAUAAUGUGUUUCCUCAAUGAAUAUUAAAAUGUAUUGUAUAUUAUUUGCACUAUACUCACAGGUUGCGUCAUUAUAACAGCAUUCACUACACAGUUAUAGCUAAUGUAUAAUAAAACAGUACAUUUAUGCUUUUGUCAACUUUCCUCAAUGAAUGCCAUUGUAACUGGUAACUUACCUGAUUCAAAAGUUUACCUCACAUUGUGUAGGGGAAACAGGUCCAUACUUACAAUAACACUCAAACAUUGAAACAAACUUUGAUCAUUAUUUUACUCUUUCCAUUUUUCCAGAGUUUCCUCAAUAAAAGCCUAUGCUGGGUUGGAUCGCUCAAUCACAAAAACGCGUUAACACCCUGUUUAUUUGGAACAUACGCACAGAAAGACACGAUAACAGUAGUAAAAAUUAUAAUGAUCCCGAAAUUUAAUUAUUAAUUUUAUUUUGUAUUCAAAGUAUUUUUUUAUGUAUGAAUGCAUUUUUAAAUGAUAUCAAUCAAUUAAAUACGUGUGCUCCAAUAAGAAUAAAGCAUUCAUACAUUAUUCCACUUCAUUUGAAAAUUUAAAUUAACUGAAGAAUAUACUAUUGUUGAUAAGACUGUCUGGUAUCCCAUUUUGAUUUUCUGGUAUUCCAGCACGUAAUGCCCUUCAGUUUUGUUUGUAUGAUCAUGAUCCUCAACAUUUUUGUGAGCGAUUUUAUUUAUUUGGUUUUAAAUCAAUAAUUAAAAUCAAGGUGUGCAUUUUGGAAUACCAUUUUAAUGACUUGGAAGAAAAGAAAAGGGUAUUUCCAUUUUAAUCACAUGUGUGUAAUAGGCACGUAUUUAAAGAACACAAAGUAGCUAUGCGUCAAUCGAUCAGCUACUUGUAAAUAAAGACGCGACUGUUAAAGAGAGAUUAAAGCCACACAUCUUGAAAUGAAAUACACGUUAAUUAAUACAUAUGGAUGCAAUUUGAAAGUGUGCACAAUUGUCGUUAAAUCUAUAGCGUAGUUAGCAAGUAAUUUAUUAUUUUUCAAACGGCUUUUAAAACCGAAAGUAGGAUUUCCACGUAUACAUGUGUGCGUCAAUUUCGAAAAACGUGAUUAUUUAUAAGUUUUAAAGCUCAAAAAAGACGGAUUAAUACCAUCUAACCACCAGAUAUAUUAUAAUUGGCUUAGAUAAAAUUAAAUCUAUAGCCUAGUUUGCAAGUAAUUUAUUAUUUUUCAAAGGGUACUGCUUUUACAACCGAAAGUAGGAUUUCUAGACAUAUACGUCCGUUUCGACAAACGCGAUUAUUUUUAAGUUGUUAAUCGCAAAAAGGACAUAUUACUACCUUGUAACCACCAGAAUUUUAAUUGGCAUAUAUAAAAUAUGUUUCUUAUUUAUUCUUAAAUUUACUAUGCCGAAUAAGGUGUGUGGCUUUAAGUCAGAUCAUCAUAUGUGUGUUGCCUUGAGACCAACUAUUAUGGUCGCGAUGUCCUGAACACAAUUUUAGCAUCAACAUUAAAAUAACUCGUCCUGUUAACCUACGUGUGAUUUGAUAGUAUAGCCAUAUUAUAUAAAGCACUAUAAACGACAAACACACGUCCUUCGUUAAGUUUAAAUAGCUAACCUAGUUCUUUGUUAAGCUACCAAAUCGAUACGGUAAGGUUUUGAUAUUUAAUAAAACUUCCGCAUUUGAUCUUUUGUUCAACUAUUUUCAACAGUUCAUUUAAUCACUCAACCAACAAAAAAGCCAGCUUUAAAGAUUAUGCUAUUCACGUCUAUAUAUUUCGAUCCGAACAUCCGAUUGGCAAAAUUACCGAAUAGCCAAGGGUAUUUUAUAC